UAGAUGAACAUAGCAAUAGUAGUUAAAUUCAUAUGGUUUAUUUUUUGUCUGUGUCCUUCACUGUAUUAAGGACUCCAUGCACAUUACCAAUAAAUCUUCAUAGCAGCCCUAUGACAUGCACUCUACUUACUGUGCCUGUUUUACAGAUGGGGGAAGUGAAGAUUAGGGAAGUUAAACGGCUGGCUGAAGAUCACAUAGCUAGUAAUUAUGGAGCUGGGACUGAACCCAGGCCUAACUCAUUUGAGAGCAUAACAAAUACCUAAGAUAAACAGCUUCUAACUUGCCCAGAUGACCAUGGGAAAUGAGGAAAAAUUGGAAACUAAGGAUAACUAUGUUGUUCCUGGUCUGAGUGACGUGGGGAAUGAAGAUCUGAUUAUCAAGGUCCUGGGUUUAUCCUAAGGCUGUUUCACACCAAAGCUCUACAGGAAGGACACCAAGUAGCAAAAAAAUGCAUGUCAAAUGGGAGAAACAAAGUAGUUUUCCUUGGCUCUGUGUUAUGAGCUGGAUCUAAAUACUCCAGAAUCAAGGAAGCUAUAAUGCCUGCUCUUCUUCUAAAGCUCAAAGCCGAAUUUCAGAACUCACCUAAGAAUGAAACACAAAGCCUCUCAUGCCCACAUCAGACAUGAAGAGAGAUUGUGUCCUUCAAAGGUAAGUCACUGCCCUUAAGAAAAGUGGCUUCAAUUAGUGCCCUGGAAUGUAAACAAUUCAAAAUCUUGGAAAAAGAUGAAAAUAGAGAAAAGAACAAGAUUUGCCAAAACCAGCAGAGCUCAGGUGACAAGAGCCAAACCUUCCACACUAAGGAUUCCAGCUCAAAGACUUAAAAUGAUUAACAAUUUUUUAUAGUGUCUCUUUUCCAUAUCUUUGUGCACUCAGGACAAGAAUGAACAGCUGAUGGACAAUUUAGGAUUUCAACCACAUACAUCUAUGUUCUUUCUAUUUGGUGUUAGACCUAAUAGGAGACAUAACCCUUCUCCAUUAAAAUGCAUAUAUUUUCAUAUAUUUGGAAAUAGAGUGACAUAGCCUAAGAUAAAAUUUAAAUGACAUGUAGUUUAUAUUCCUCCUUCUGAAAGAAUACCCCUCAAAAAACUUUAGAACCCAAUUUUUUAGAGCUCAUCAGAAGAAUAGAGUGCCUUAAUGUCAAGGUUUUGUCAAAAAACAUGCUGAGAUUAAAGUUUAAAGGAAAUUUGUUGAUUUGGGAGAUGAUCUCAGGAAGAAAUAGUAAGGCAUGGACAAGUGGGACAGCAGAGGGGAAAGGUGCUAAUAUGCUAUGUGUUAUGAGAAGGUUGCAGCCUGGGCCUUCAGAAAGACUGGAUAGAAAUGCACAAAAGUACAUAGAAGUGAAGAUGCUGGAUUAUUUAUUCACAACUCCUACCCACCAUUCCCUGAAAUCAGCUUCCAGGACAUCCACCUCUCAGACCUAGGCAUUCUAGUAAAAGCUCUUGGGCAAAGAUUCUCAGAAGGCUCUGGAAGUAAAACUUCAGCCUGCUUCAGGAAGCUAAGUGCCCCCAGAUAUGAGAGGCAGCACCAGUAGCUCCUGUUGCAAUUCAUGAAUUAACUUUUGGUAAAGAUAUCUUGGAUUAACACUCUUUAGCAGGAGAAUAUCUUUCUAAAA